ACCUAAUUGGUAUGAGUGAAGCACAACAGGAGAUAGCAGCUAAAUUUGUAUGCAAGAGUCAGGAUAAGAAGUAUGACACUGACAGUGAAAGCAGAAAACAGCAAGCCAACAGUUCAGGACUAGUCAUUCGAAUGGACUAAAGCUGCAGAAACCAAAUCCAACAACUUUUGGCAAAGAAGCUUCCUCUUAUCAUGCACCUCCCGCCCUUGGGACUUGGAGAGUCUUCUCUUCCUGGAAGGCCUGUACAUUUGCAAUUCUCUACACCUACUGUAGUCCCAUGAGAAAGAUAUUAUUUUCCUCAAAUUUCAACAGAAAAGUUGGAUUGAGAUUUUGUUUAUUGACAUUGACAUUAUUUUCCACUUCUUCCAACUCUUGGGAACAUAAGAAGCGCUUGAUGGUAGCAACACAAGUGUCACUGCUGCUUCUAUCCCCUGACAACAUAUGGGAAAUGUCAACUGGAAAUGGAGAGGUUUCCACUUGGAUCAGAAAUACUCCUGGAGUUGUGGAGGCUGAGAUGUCCAGGAUCAAGGGGCAACGUCCAGUAAGACCUUUUCUGCUGGCAGGGAUAGUGAUGAAUCCCAGGGCUGAACAGGUAAUAUGUUAAGUGGUAAGUGGGCUGAGCAUGCUAGCUCAGGUUUCUUUUAUUUUUAUUGUUUUUAUUUUUAUUGAUUUUUAUUCCAAUGAUUUCUGGAGAAAAAGUGGUGUUUGGUUACAUGGGUGAGUUCUUUAGUGGUUAUUUUGAACAUUUUGUUGCACCCAUCAUUCAAGCAGUAUAACUGUGCCCAAUGUGUAAUCUUUUAUAUCUUACCCCUCCCUCCUUUGUUUCUGAAUCCCUCAAGUCCAUUUUAUCA
rnacentral:lncRNA from 1 species